rnacentral:tRNA from 1 species
GGCCAUCUCGGACCGGUGCCGCUCGCCGCCGUCGCCAUCGGCGGAACCGUGAUGUCGAUGGGUGUGUGGUUCGGCACCCUGAUGGCCU